rnacentral:rRNA from 1 species
AGCGAACGCUGGCGGCAGGCUUAACACAUGCAAGUCGAGCGGGCCUUUCGGGGUCAGCGGCGGACGGGUGAGUAACGCGUGGGAACGUGCCCUCUGGUUCGGAAUAACUCAGGGAAACUUGAGCUAAUACCGGAUACGCCCUUUUGGGGAAAGGCUUGCUGCCGGAGGAUCGGCCCGCGUCUGAUUAGCUAGUUGGUGAGGUAACGGCUCACCAAGGCGACGAUCAGUAGCUGGUCUGAGAGGAUGAUCAGCCACACUGGGACUGAGACACGACCCAGACUCCUACGGGAAGCAGCAGUGGGGAAUAUUGGACAAUGGGCGCAAGCCUGAUCCAGCCAUGCCGCGUGAGUGAUGAAGGCCUUAGGGUUGUAAAGCUCUUUUAUCCGGGACGAUAAUGACGGUACCGGAGGAAUAAGCCCCGGCUAACUUCGUG